rnacentral:tRNA from 1 species
CGGGGCAUAGCGUAGCCUGGUAGCGCGCCUGCCUUGGGCGCAGGAGGUCCCCAGUUCAAAUCUGGGUGCCCCGACCA